ensembl:scaRNA
GGUCAGUGAUGAGAAGUCAAGGUCUGACCGCACCGAGAAAUCACAUUCCCGCUUGUGGCCUUCACGGCUCCCAGCAGCCCAUCGCUUCUCACCCAGACACGCUUCAGGCAUGCUGAUCCUGGGACGGUGGAGCCGCUGACAAGUGGGACGUGUCCGGCGUGUGCUCCUUCGAGGAGAAGGGAGGAACACGCCGGGAGGUCGUCCGACAAACCUGGCCUGAGGAGCUUGGAAUGGAGAGCCACAGGGAUGCGAUGGUGCGUGAUCUCAAGUUUUCAAGCUGAGACC